GAGGGUAUAGUUCAGUGGUAAAGUGCAGGCUUAGAAUGCAUGAAGUCCUGGGUUCAAUCCCCAGUACCUCCA
rnacentral:tRNA from 1 species